rnacentral:rRNA from 1 species
GACGAACGCUGGCGGCGUGCUUAACACAUGCAAGUCGAACGGAAAGGCCCUGCUUUUGUGGGGUGCUCGAGUGGCGAACGGGUGAGUAACACGUGAGUAACCUGCCCUUGACUUUGGGAUAACUUCAGGAAACUGGGGCUAAUACCGGAUAGGAGCUCCUGCUGCAUGGUGGGGGUUGGAAAGUUUCGGCGGUGGGGGCUGGACUCGCGGCUUAUCAGCUUGUUGGUGGGGUAGUGGCUUACCAAGGUUUUGACGGGUAGCCGGCCUGAGAGGGUGACCGGCCACAUUGGGACUGAGAUACGGCCCAGACUCCUACGGGAGGCAGCAGUGGGGAGUAUUGCACAGUGGGCGGAAGCCUGAUGCAGCAACGCCGCGUGCGGGAUGACGGCCUUCGGGUUGUAAACCGCUUUCGCCGGUGACGAAGCGUGAGUGACGGUAAUGGGUAAAGAAGCACCGGCUAACUACGUG